UCUGGUUGAUCCUGCCAGUAGUCAUAUGCUUGUCUCAAAGAUUAAGCCAUGCAUGUCUAAGUACAUACUUUUACAUGGUGAAACCGCGAAUGGCUCAUUAAAUCAGUUAUGGUUCCUUAGAUCGUACAAUCCUACUUGGAUAACUGUGGUAAUUCUAGAGCUAAUACAUGAAACUGACGCUCCGACCCUCUGGGAAAGAGCGCGUUUAUUAGAACAAGACCAGUCGGGGUUCUGCCCCGUACGAUUGGUGAUACUGGAUAACUUUGUGCAGAUCGCACGGCCUCGCGCCGGCGACGUAUCUUUCAAAUGUCUGCCCUAUCAACUGUCGAUGGUACGUGAUAUGCCUACCAUGGUUGUAACGGGUAACGGGGAAUCAGGGUUCGAUUCCGGAGAGGGAGCCUGAGAAACGGCUACCACAUCCAAGGAAGGCAGCAGGCGCGCAAAUUACCCACUCCUGGCACGGGGAGGUAGUGACGAAAAAUAACAAUACGGGACUCUUUCGAGGCCCCGUAAUUGGAAUGAGCACACUUUAAACCCUUUGACGAGGAUCUAUUGGAGGGCAAGUCUGGUGCCAGCAGCCGCGGUAAUUCCAGCUCCAAUAGCGUAUAUUAAAGUUGUUGCAGUUAAAAAGCUCGUAGUUGAACCUUGGGUCUGGCUGGCCGGUCCGCCUCACCGCGAGUACUGGUCCGGCUGGACCUUUCCUUCUGGGGAACCUCAUGGCCUUCACUGGCUGUGGGGGGAACCAGGACUUUUACUGUGAAAAAAUUAGAGUGUUCAAAGCAGGCCUUUGCUCGAAUACAUUAGCAUGGAAUAAUAGAAUAGGACGUGUGGUUCUAUUUUGUUGGUUUCUAGGACCGCCGUAAUGAUUAAUAGGGAUAGUUGGGGGCAUUGGUAUUGAGUCGCUAGAGGUGAAAUUCUUGGAUUGACUCAAGACCAACAACUGCGAAAGCAUCUGCCAAGGAUGUUUUCAUUAAUCAAGAACGAAGGUUAGGGGAUCGAAAACGAUCAGAU
rnacentral:rRNA from 1 species